GAUGAACGCUAGCGGCAGGCCUAACACAUGCAAGUCGAGGGAGAAGCCCUUCGGGGCAGAAACCGGCGCACGGGUGCGUAACGCGUAUGCAACCUACCUUUCACAGGGGGAUAGCCCGAAGAAAUUUGGAUUAAUACCCCAUAAUAUUAUUGGAUGGCAUCAUUUGAUAAUUAAAAUUACGAUGGUGGAAGAUGGGCAUGCGUCCGAUUAGCUAGUUGGAGUGGUAACGGCACCCCAAGGCUACGAUAGGUAGGGGUCCUGAGAGGGAGAUCCCCCACACUGGUACUGAGACAGGGACCAGACUCCUACGGGAGGCAGCAGUGAGGAAUAUUGGUCAAUGGUCGGAAGACUGAACCAGCCAUGCCGCGUGCAGGAAGAAUGCCUUAUGGGUUGUAAACUGCUUUUAUAUGGGAAGAAUAAGGCGUACGUGUACGCUGAUGACGGUACCAUAUGAAUAAGC
rnacentral:rRNA from 1 species